UGGGGAAUAUUGCGCAAUGGGGGAAACCCUGAAGCAGCGACGCCGCGUGCGGGAUGAAGGCCUUCGGGUUGUAAACCGCUUUUGAUUGGGAGCAAGCUUUCGGGUGAGUGUACCUUUCGAAUAAGCGCCGGCUAACUACGUGCCAGCAGCCGCGGUAAUACGUAGGGCGCAAGCGUUAUCCGGAAUUAUUGGGCGUAAAGAGCUUGUAGGCGGUUCGUCGCGUCUGGUGUGAAAGCCCAUCGCUUAACGGUGGGUUUGCGCCGGGUACGGGCGGGCUAGAGUGCAGUAGGGGAGACUGGAAUUCCCGGUGUAACGGUGGAAUGUGUAGAUAUCGGGAAGAACACCAAUGGCGAAGGCAGGUCACUGAGCUGUUACUGACGCUGAGAAGCGAAAGCGUGGGGAGCGAACAGG
rnacentral:rRNA from 1 species